UAUACAGCAUACUACAUCAGGUACAUUGUUCCAUUUAGUGCCAGGAUAUACAGCAUACUACAUCAGGUACAUUGUUCCAUUUAGUGCCCGGAUAUACAGCAUACUACAUCAGGUACGUUGUUAAUGUGCCCCAAUGUAUGAUUAGCUUUUACUUGGGGUACAUGUGGUCACUCUCACUGGAUGCUGUAAGAUAAGGAGAGAAAGCAUGCGAUGGAUGUUCAUGUGGUUGCUGUCACUGGAGCAUUUAAAAAACAUAACAUGCAAAAAUUGUUGAUAGUACUGUUAGAAUCAACAGGUUAUUGCUUGUACAAAAAAUUUCAACAUUCAGAUUUUUAGCUUAAUAAUUGGAAGAAUAGUCUGUGUUAUCUCUGCUCAAGCCUGUCAGAUUCCUUUGUUCCUUACAAUUGAUUAAUUGAUUAAAAAUUUGCUUUUGCUUUCUGCAUAACUGUAACCUUCACCAUUGUUCACAAAGUUUUCAUACUUUUUCAGAGUCCAUCCAGCAAAAGAAAGAAAACCAGUUUUUGAGAGAAGCAUUGGCUAACGAGCAUGCAAAUAACAUAUUUUCAGCCUGCAUGAAUCAGAAUAGAAUGCUCCAGAGAUUGCUGGCGAGGUCAUUGAAUCAGACGUGUCAAAAGUUUCCUUGAUUGACGAUGAUCACUACAGACCUAGACGGGGAAUCCAAAUCGAAAAAUUGUUCUUCUUACAAGUACUGAACAUGGAGCCAUGUGCGAUUACAAAGGCCAUUAACACAAAAAUACAUACAAUGACCAGGGCCAUCAACAUGAAACAUGUAUGAACUAUUUAUUGUGAACAAAAUAUAUGAUGGAUUAUUUGCCGUUUUUAGCUCGACUAUACGAAGUAUAAGGAGAGCUAUCCUACUCGCCCCGGCGUCGGCGUCUUUCCGCGUCCCCACCUUGGUUAAAAUUUUGGUGCACUUUCUCUUUUUUCAACUUAUCUCUGUAAUUACUUGGAUUUGAUUCAAACUUGAAAUACUUAUUCCUCAUCAUCAUCCACAUCAUCUGACAUAAGGGCCAUAACUCUGGCACCAAUAUUUCAUGAAUUACCACCCCUUUUCACUUAGAUUUUCAGGUUAAAGUUUUGAUGCACUUUCACUCUAUCUCUGUUAUUACUAAAUGGAUUUGAUUCAAACUUAAAAUAGUUGUUCAACAACAUCACCCACAUCAUAUGACACAAGGUGCAUAACUCUGGCACCAUAUUUUCAUGAAGUAUUCCCCCUUUUUACUUAGAAUUUCAGGUUAAAGUUUUGGUGCACUUUCACUAUACCUCUGUUAUUACUGAAUGGAUUUGAUUCAAACUUAAAAUAGUUGUUCAGCAUCAUCACCCACAUCAUAUGACACAAGGUGCAUAACUCUGGCACCAUAUUUUCAUGAAUUAUUCCCCCUUUUUACUUAGAAUUUCAGGUUAAAGUUUUGGAGCACUUCCACUCUACCUCUGUUAUUACUGAAUGGAUUUGAUUCAAACUUAAAAUAGUUGUUCAGCAUCAUCACCCACAUCAUAUGACACAAGAUGCAUAGCUCUGGCACAAUUUUUCAUGAAUUAUUCCCCUUUUUACUUAGAAUUUCAGGUUAAAGUUUUAUGCACUUUCACUCUAUAUCUGUUACUACUGAAUGUAUCUGAUUCAAACUUAAACAAUUGUUCAACAUCAUUACCCUUAUCAUAUGACACAAGGUGCAUAACUCUGGGGCCAAUUUUUCAUGAAUUAUUUCCCCUUUUUACUUAGAAUUUUAGGUUAAAGUUUUGAUGCACUUUCGCUCUGUCUCUGUUAUUACUAAAUGGAUUUGAUUCAAACUUAAAAUAGUUGUUCAACAUCAUCACCCACACCAUAUGACACAAGGUGCAUAACUCUGGCACCAAUUUUUCAUUAAUUAUUCCCCCUUUUUACUUAGAAUUUUAGGUUAAAGUUUUGAUGCACUUUCACUCUGUCUCUGUUUUGAUUCAAACUUAAAAUAGUUGUUCAACAUCAUCACCCACACUAUAUGACACUUAUAUAGUGUUUUGAUACAUUUUAUCUUUACCUCUCUUAUUACUUUAAGUUGAUAUUUUUGACAUAGACUCAGGCUAUUGUGCAAUAUCUUCAUCCACAAUUGGAGUCAUUAAACACUCCAGUGACAGCUCUAGUUUCCUCAGAUGUGCCCAGUUUCACUAUCAAGCAUCGAAAUAGUCGAGCACGCUGUCCCCUGUGACAGCUCUUGUUUUAUUAGAACUAUUAUAAAAGUUCAUUGAGAUAUUGCUUUCAUAUUUUGCAUACUUGUUUACCAUCAUGACCCCAUUGUGUAAACAGGAGCAGACAACUCUAUCAUGCAUUUUGACUGGAUUAUGGCCCCUUUUUGUACCCCCCCC